rnacentral:lncRNA from 1 species
UAGCCACGAGGAAAGAAAAUGCCGCGUGACGCAUGCAACUGCUGCAGCCUCCGUCCGCUCUCCCAACACGGCGGUAGCAGCGCAGCGCAGCGCGCGCGGCGGCACAGCCAGACGAGGCAAAGGCAACAGAAGUGGUCGUCCUCGCCUCUAGUCCGGCAGUCUCAUCUCACGCAGCGGUCGGCAGUGGCAUGCGUUUUGGACGAUCUCGACGGAUGAUUUCUAGCUGCUCUUUUGUCGAUCUGACCGAGACGAGACGACGACGGACAAGCAAAGACUGAUGGUACUACCCCACGGGGCCGGCUACGUGGUCCUUGGGUUGUUCGUGCUUGAGAAGAAUCUGAAGCAUCUCUAAAAGCUAUGCAAAAACUCGCAGACGGCGAGACAAGGAAAAAAGCUGCGCCGUCGUACACAGUACGAUGCUCAUGAUGAUAUAUGGGUACUCCGGAAUAGGGCCUUGUUAGUUAAAAAAAAAAUUUGUAAAAAAAUUUAGAUCCUUGUCACAUCGAAUCUUACGGUAUAUGCAUGAAAUAUUAAAUAUAGAUAAAAAUAAUAACUAAUUGCAUAAUUUGUCUGUAAUUUGUG